rnacentral:tRNA from 1 species
GCCAGCUUGGUGUAGUGGUUUGAGUGUUGGACUAUAACUCUGGAGACCAGGGUUCAAAUCCCUUCUUGGCC